AAGCGUUGUUCGGAAUUAUUGGGCGUAAAGCGCGUGUAGGCGGUUUGGUAAGUCUGAUGUGAAAGCCCUGGGCUCAACCCGGGAAGUGCAUUGGAUACUGGCAAACUUGAGUACGGGAGAGGGCAGUGGAAUUCCCAGUGUAGGGGUGAAAUCCGUAGAUAUUUGGAGGAACACCGGUGGCGAAGGCGGCUAUCUGGACCGAUACUGACGCUGAGACGCGAAAGCGUGGGGAGCAAACAGGAUUAGAUACCCUGGUAGUCCACGCCGUAAACGAUGAGAACUAGGUGUCGCGGGUAUUGACCCCUGCAGUGCCA
rnacentral:rRNA from 1 species